rnacentral:rRNA from 1 species
UUUAAGUCAGAUGUGAAAUCCCCGGGCUCAACCUGGNNACUGCACCUGAUACUGGGGGGCUAGAAUGUGGGAGAGGAGAGUAGAAUUUCCGGUGUAGCGGUGAAAUGCAUAGAGAUCGGAAGGAAUACCAGUGGCGAAGGCGGCUCUCUGGACCAACAUUGACGCUGAGGUGCGAAAGCGUGGGUAGCAAACAGGAUUAGAUACCCUGGUAGUCCACGCCGUAAACGAUGUCAACUAGCCGUCAGGCCCGCUUUAGGGUNUGGUGGUGNAGNUAACGUAUUAAGUUG